rnacentral:rRNA from 1 species
CUCAAAGGAAUUGACGGGGGCCCGCACAAGCGGUGGAGUAUGUGGUUUAAUUCGACGCAACGCGCAAAACCUUACCUGGGCUUGACAUACCGAUCGUACCUUUUGGAAACAUUUGGGUCAGCUUGGCUGGAUCGGAUACAGGUGCUGCAUGGCUGUCGUCAGCUCGUGUCGUGAGAUGUUGGGUUAAGCCCCGCAACGAGCGCAACCCCUACUGUUAGUUGCCAUCAUUUAGUUGGGCACUCUAACGGAACUGUCGGUGUCAAACCGGAGGAAGGUGGGGAUGACGUCAAGUCCUCAUGGCCCUUAUGCCCAGGGCUACACACGUACUACAAUGGCCAGUACAAAGGGCAGCGAACUCGCAAGGGUAAGCGAAUCCCAAAAAGCUGGUCCCAGUUCGGAUUGGAGUCUGCAACUCGACUCCAUGAAGUUGGAAUCGCUAGUAAUCGCGAAUCAGCAUGUCGCGGUGAAUACGUUCUCGGGCCUUGUACACACCGCCCGUCACACCACGAAAGUCAGUUAAACUAGAUGUCGUUGAGCUAAUUCAUUUCGAUG